ensembl:lncRNA
AUGAGCACGCUGAGCCUUCGAGGGCAGACGCCGUGCAGCGUGGAGCUGAGGUGUGGGGGGCCGGAGGGGGCGAUGAAGCACCAACACCGGGGUGCUCCGGCCCUCACCCACCCGCAGCGCCAGGGCACUGGGGCACACGGCAGAGCCUGUGACACCUCUCCCGAUGCCUUUGACAUCUCCAGGAUGGCUGCUCAGGGUCGGGCUCUGGCUGGGGAGGCUCAGGGCGCUCCGCUCUCCCAUGGUGCAGAGCCGGCGGGACGUGGCUCCUGGAGGCAGCGUCGGGGCGACGGGAGCAGCUCCAGCUCUGUCUGCACCGAGGACUUGGCUGCCGCAUUUUGGGAGGGCAUGGUGGAGCCCGCAGUGUUCUCCGAGGGGGAGGAGGACGAGGCCCUCACUUUCCCUACCGAGGCCGAUGGCGAUGGGCAGGAUGCGUCCCCCUCCGUGGGACCAGGCUGUCCCUGGCGGGACACGUCCCCAUGGCUGACGAGGAGGGAGAGCCUGGAGUCCCUGGGAGUGAGGAUUUCCAGGCUGAGCCAGAUCAGUGCUGGGACAGCCCGAGGGGGUCCCUGCCCUGCCCCCUCCGAGGGGGACACGGGGCAUCCCUGGAGACCCCCAGGCAGCUCGGCCAGCAGGAGCGGGGCCGGGACCGGGGGACACCCCAGGAGCAAGCCCACGGAGACCAGACAUCAGCAGCCAGCAGCUGUCCGGGGGUGGCAAGGAGGAGACGCCGCCCUCACAGUGGAGAAGGAAGGAGGUGGCAGCAGGCAGAGGGGAGCUCGCUGCUCGUCUCACCGUACUGAGGCAGCAGCGGGACCCUCCGGCAGAUGCAGCCCCCACUCCAAGGUGCUGAGCUUCGUGUCCUGCCCAGGCGGAGUGACCCAGCCCCAGUGGCAGCGCGGGAGGCUGGCAGCUGUCCUGUCCCACAAGCUGGUGUCGCUGCGCGGGGCCCUGCGGAGGAGCCAGGAGAGGACGCAAGAGCUGGGAGCUGGUGCUCAGGGGACCUGGAGAGAAGGGGAGAGAGGCAGCAGGGCUGGCUGGGCGCCGCUGGCAUGGACACAGGACCAGCUGGACCUGGAGAAGGUGGUGGGCACCCCAAGUUGGGUAAAGCAGGGUGGGGGCUGGGGGGGCUCUGGGUGAGCUGGGGGACAGCAGGGUGAGGGGCUGGGCUGGCCAGGGCUGGCCAGGGCUGCGGCUACACCGGGAGGAAAGCGCGGAGCUGCUUCUGUGUGGAGGAGGUGGGAAGUGGAGAAGGGGGGGGUCCUGUCUCAGCAGGGGCUCUCAGAGAGGCUGUGAUGGGGGCACGGGGCAGGCACGAAGGGCAACGUUGGCUCUGCGAGACGAGAAACUGGAGCUGCAGGAGGUUGAGGCUCCGCGAGCUGCAGCAUCGAACCCGCUCCCUCCUGCGGCAGCGGCUGGAGACCCUGGAGCGGCUCCAUGUGCUGCUGCGGGAGGAGAAGGCGGCCGCGCCUCGGCAGCUCCAGGAGGCUAUGGAGAAGGAGCGGGACUGGAGGCAGCAGCGGGCCCGGAGGCAGAAGCGGGAGCAUCUUCACCGGGAGAAGGUGGCAGCGGUGGGAGGCCUGGAGGAGCCGCUGGCCCAAAGAUGGAGCCAACGUCUGCGCCUCCGCUCCGCCGCCUCCCAGUCCCCAAGCACUGUGCCCAGCCUCCAGCAGCACGGCCCAGGGUCCCUGGGUCUCCUGCACCAUGUCCAGCGCUGCCUGCAGGAGCUGCAGGUGGAUAAGACACACCGCACAGGCAACCUGGAGAACCCCAAAGUCCUGGGAAGAGAGCUGGGCACCGCAGCAAGCGAGGAGGAAUGUGGACAGCCUGGGACAGGGGACUCGCCCUCCACCGCAGCCUCACCCAAGCAAGAGCAGAGGUUCCUGGUACCAGACACCUCACGCCCCAGCAGGAGCAGCAGGAGGAAACACGACUGCAGGAGGAGUCGUCUGCUGUGA